CAGCCGCCGCGGGAAUACGAAGGGUGCAAGCGUUACUCGGAAUUACUGGGCGUAAAGCGUGCGUAGGUGGUGGUUUAAGUCCGUUGUGAAAGCCCUGGGCUCAACCUGGGAAUUGCAGUGGAUACUGGAUCACUAGAGUGUGGUAGAGGAUAGUGGAAUUUCCGGUGUAGCAGUGAAAUGCGUAGAGAUCGGAAGGAACAUCUGUGGCGAAGGCGACUAUCUGGUCUGUAACUGACGCUGAGGAGCGAAAGCGUGGGGAGCGAACAGGAUUAGAUACCCGCGUAGUCCCUGUCUCUUAUAC
rnacentral:rRNA from 1 species